GACGAGGGGUCCUAGCGUUGCUCGGAAUCAUUGGGCGUAAAGCGGAUGUAGGCGGCUUUGCAAGUCGGAAGUGAAAGCCCUGGGCUUAACCCAGGAAGUGCUUUCGAUACUGCUUAGCUUGAAUGUGGGAGAGGGUAGUGGAAUACCUAGUGUAGUGGUGAAAUACGUAGAUAUUAGGUGGAACACCGGUGGCGAAGGCGGCUACCUGGCCCAACAUUGACGCUGAGAUCCGAAAGCGUGGGGAUCAAACAGG
rnacentral:rRNA from 1 species